CGGGACGGGUGAGUAAUGUCUGGGAAACUGCCUGAUGGAGGGGGGUGACUACUGGAAACGGUAGCUAAUACCGCAUAACGUCGCGAGACCAAAGAGGGGGACCUUAGGGCCUCUUGCCAUCGGAUGUGCCCAGAUGGGAUUAGCUAGUAGGUGGGGUAACGGCUCACCUAGGCGACGAUCCCUAGCUGGUCUGAGAGGAUGACCAGCCACACUGGAACUGAGACACGGUCCAG
rnacentral:rRNA from 1 species